UACGUAGGGACCAAGCGUUGUUCGGAUUUACUGGGCGUAAAGGGCGCGUAGGCGGCUUAACAAGUCACUUGUGAAAUCUCCGGGCUUAACUCGGAACGGCCAAGUGAAACUGUUAUGCUAGAGUGCAGAAGGGGCAAUCGGAAUUCUUGGUGUAGCGGUGAAAUGCGUAGAUAUCAAGAGGAACACCUGAGGUGAAGACGGGUUGCUGGGCUGACACUGACGCUGAUGCGCGAAAGCCAGGGGAGGCAAACGGG
rnacentral:rRNA from 1 species